rnacentral:rRNA from 1 species
GAUGAACGCUGGCGGCGUGCCUAAUACAUGCAAGUCGAGCGAACGGACGAGAAGCUUGCUUCUCUGAUGUUAGCGGCGGACGGGUGAGUAACACGUGGAUAACCUACCUAUAAGACUGGGAUAACUUCGGGAAACCGGAGCUAAUACCGGAUAAUAUUUUGAACCGCAUGGUUCAAAAGGGAAAGACGGUCUUGCUGUCACUUAUAGAGGGAUCCGCGCUGCAUUAGCUAGUUGGUAAGGUAACGGCUUACCAAGGCAACGAUGCAUAGCCGACCUGAGAGGGUGAUCGGCCACACUGGAACUGAGACACGGUCCAGACUCCUACGGGAGGCAGCAGUAGGGAAUCUUCCGCAAUGGGCGAAAGCCUGACGGAGCAACGCCGCGUGAGUGAUGAAGGUCUUCGGAUCGUAAAACUCUGUUAUUAGGGAAGAACAUAUGUGUAAGUAACUGUGCACAUCUUGACGGUACCUAAUCAGAAAGCCACGGCUAACUACGUG